rnacentral:rRNA from 1 species
CGAAAGCCUGACGGAGCAAGACCGCGUGGGGGAGGAAGGCUCUAGGGUUGUAAACCCCUUUUCUUGGGGAAGAACAAAAUGACGGUACCAAAGGAAUCAGCCUCGGCUAACUCCGUGCCAGCAGCCGCGGUAAUACGGAGGAGGCAAGCGUUAUCCGGAAUGAUUGGGCGUAAAGCGUCCGCAGGUGGCAAUGUAAGUCUGCUGUCAAAACCCAGGGCUCAACUCUGGUCAGGCAGUGGAAACUACAUAGCUAGAGUUCGGUAGGGGCAAAGGGAAUUCCCGGUGUAGCGGUGAAAUGCGUAGAUAUUGGGAAGAACACCAGUGGCGAAGGCGCUCUACUGGGCCGCAACUGACACUCAGGGACGAAAGCUAGGGGAGCG